UAAAGACCAGGAACAACCUGGUGUACAUCACAUGCACGUCAACCUCCAAGAGUAGACAUGAUCUACAGAAUGCUGGUGGUUCUGCUGGGGCUAUACACAGGUGGGGAUGCUUCGGUACAACAUGCGGCAGGUCAAGGCCCCAGCAAGGGUUCACAAGGGUCAAGUAACCGGAUGUUUGGGAGGUGCAGACGGUGUCGGGUGCGCGAGGUCAACAUGGUGUUCCUGCCGUGCGGUCACAUGGUGUGUUGUGCCGAGUGUGGCGUCAUCUCCAGUACCUGUGACGUAUGUCACGCUCCAAUCAGGGGCAGUGUGAGGACAAGACACGUGAACACGUGAACUCAAAUACGUGAACUCUUCAGGUGUUUAAAACAAUGUGAUAUAUAUGUUUUAUUUAAACAAGCAAUGCAUGAAGCAGUGAAUUUACAUUCAACUUAAACGAACGGAAGAUUUCGCAUCACAGGGUCAAUACUUAGAACUAUUAUGGUUUAAUUUGUUAAAGGCAACGAUCUGAUUAAAGUUCCAUACUACA